ACAGCAAAACACACUGAAAGAACACUAAGAGAUUAUGAUGCAGCAGAAAGGAGGUGGCUGGAACUCAGAACUGCCUCCAAGCCUGCUCCAGCCCAGACAGCCCUGAGUCAUUGUGAGGCCUGUAAAUGAGGAAGUUGUCAGGUGCCAGGGUUUCACCAUUGAUGAGAGGGAGGCCUUUUUCAGCGCCAUGACAUACGUAACCACUUCCAUCUGAUUUUUUGGAUUAAUGCUUACAUUGCAACAGGCAACACCACAGAAGGUUCAAACAAAAGACUUUGCUAAAUUGGAUUCAAGGCCAAAAUACGAGUUUUCAUGUGAAAGUUGGAGGUGGAAAAGUGAGAAUAGCCAAGAAUAUCUCACAUGUGUAAUCCAGUGGUCUGAAGCUCCAGAUGGCCCCACUUAAUUAUGCCUUGCUUUCUCCCCUGUCUUAACAGGGUCUUGCAGUUUGGAGCAUAGAACCUGAGCGUAGAGACAGAGGUGAGCUCCCUGAUGAAGCAAUCUUUCUCAC
rnacentral:lncRNA from 10 species